GAUGAACGCUAGCGGCAGGCCUAACACAUGCAAGUCGAGGGGCAGCACAGAAACAGCAAUGUUUUGGUGGCGACCGGCGGACGGGUGCGUAACGCGUAUGCAACCUACCUUUAACAGGGGGAUAACGGAGAGAAAUUUCCACUAAUACCCCAUAACAUCGAUCAAGGCAUCUUGAUUGGUUGAAAACUCCGGUGGUUACAGAUGGGCAUGCGUUGUCUAAGGUAGUUGGUGAGGUAAUGGCUCACCAAGCCUACGAUACAUAGGGGGACUGAGAGCUUGGCCCCCCACACAGGUACUGAGACACAGACCAGACUCCGACGGGAGGCAGCAGUGAGGAAUAUUGGGCAAUGGGGGCAACCCUGAACCAGCCAUGCCGCGUGCAGGAAGACGGCUCUAUGAGUUGUAAACUGCUUUUAAACAGGGAUAAAGCACAGUAUGUAUACUGUGUUGAAGGUACUGUAAGAAUAAGGAUCGGCUAACUCCGUGCCAGCAGCCGCCGCGG
rnacentral:rRNA from 1 species